rnacentral:rRNA from 1 species
GACGAACGCUGGCGGCGUGCUUAACACAUGCAAGUCGAACGGAAAGGCCCUGCUUUUGUGGGGCGCUCGAGUGGCGAACGGGUGAGUAACACGUGAGUAACCUGCCCUUGACUUUGGGAUAACUUCAGGAAACUGGGGCCAAUACCGGAUAGGAGCUCUUGCUGCAUGGAGGGGGAUGGAAAGUUUCGGCGGUUGGGGAUGGACUCGCGGCUUAUCAGCUUGUUGGUGGGGUAGUGGAUUACCAAGGCUUUGACGGGUAGCCGGCCUGGGCGGGUGACCGGCCACAUUGGGACUGAGAUACGGACCAGACUCCUACGGGAGGCAGCAGAGGGGAAUAUUGCACAAUGGGCGGAAGCCUGAUGCAGCGACGCCGCGUGCGGGAUGACGGCAUUCGGGUUGUAACCCACUUUCGCCUGAGACGAAGCGUGAGUGACGGUAAUGGGUAAAGAAGCACCGGCUAACUACGUG